AUGUAGGGCAAUCUGUCUUUAAGUAGGGGUAAAUUACUCUUUAAAAAAAAGAAUCCUAGAUAGUUUUCCCUUCAAGUCAAGUGUCUUGU
rnacentral:pre_miRNA from 1 species